GGUUGCAGUAACCGAUAAUUCAAACUCACAAACGAGACCGAGGUGAAUUUUCUUAGUCAUCCCUACUCGAGCCAUUCAGUUGGCUACAGCCAGGACGUGUGUAGUCUGUAUAUGCAUGUAGGCACAUCAUUUUUGCAUCUGCAUUUGAGCUUACUGAAAUCUGUACCAACAGCGCUAGCUAUACCAGCAAGAGGAGGCCUGAUAGAGAGCUUGCUGAAUUAAACUCAACCACUGUCGCUCUUUUCCCCGACUUGCCAGACAUGGAGACCUUACCAGCAUCGGGAUCUUCUGUGUGGAAGGAGCUCAACCACUGCCUUGGGGACCAACCAGGCCUGGGGAGAGAAUCGCAUUUCCAUUUUGCAGAAACAAACUGGAAAAAAUCUUAAUGAAGGUGUACAAUAUGGAAGGUUCCCUGCCAUGGAGGAUUUAUGUGCCUACGCCGUACUCGAGAAGGCUACACCAACCAAUGAGUUCCCACACCUGCCAGCCUAGGAGACCAAAGAGACCUUCCUGUGGGGACAAAUCAGGCCACAAAGGUGAUGUCCUGCACCCCUCCUCCAUGCUGCCAGGGACACGGGAGAUGGGCGAAGCCUGGGCAAAGACCAUAGAGAAAAUGCAGAGUGUCACCAUCAAGGUAAUAACCAGCCCAUAUUAUGCAAGCAGUACACUAAUUUACCCACAGGUUACAAGUGUCUACUGCUGUUUCAUUAAAUAGUAAUUCCUGUAAAUUUGAGAGCACAACUGUAAUCAACCCUAAGGGCACAAUGUUUCUAUUGUCACUGUUGCUAAACCCCCCACACUUACUCCUGCACUGCACGAGGUGUAUUUAAUUUUCUCUCACCUGCAACCUGCCUUACAGACAGAGAAGAGCAGCCCAGGGGUGCAUGCAUGCCCUGCCACGUGCUGCUCUGCUCCCACCCGCACACCUCCAGGCUGGAGGGACCCGCAGGGCUUCAAGCAGGGGCACACCUUGAGGGAAAGCAUGUUUUGCAAACAUUAGCAUCCCUGAAGAAGGUUACCAUGAGCAAAAAGAGCCCAUCAUGUCCAAGAGAUUCAACCACAGCCUUUAAAACAGCCAGGUUCUACACCUUGUUCAAGCAGAUGCAACUUUCUUCAUUUCAGCAACAACCAAAAUUGCAC
ensembl:lncRNA